UUCGAACGAGCGAGAGAGAGCUUGCUUUCUCGAGCGAGUGGCGAACGGGUGAGUAACGCGUGAGGAACCUGCCUCAAAGAGGGGGACAACAGUUGGAAACGACUGCUAAUACCGCAUAAGCCCACGGGUCGGCAUCGACCAGAGGGAAAAGGAGUGAUCCGCUUUGAGAUAGCCUCGCGUCCGAUUAGCUAGUUGGUGAGGUAACGGCCCACCAAGGCGACGAUCGGUAGCCGGACUGAGAGGUUGAACGGCCACAUUGGGACUGAGACACGGCCCAGACUCCUACGGGAGGCAGCAGUGGGGAAUAUUGCACAAUGGGGGAAACCCUGAUGCAGCGACGCCGCGUGGAGGAAGAAGGUCUUCGGAUUGUAAACUCCUGUUGUUGGGGAAGAUAAUGACGGUACCCAACAAAGGAGGUGACGGCUAACUACGUGCCAGCAGCCGCGGUAAAACGUAGGUCACAAGCGUUGUCCGGAAUUACUGGGUGUAAAGGGAGCGCAGGCGGGAAGACAAGUUGGA
rnacentral:rRNA from 1 species